UAGGGAAUCUUCCACAAUGGACGAAAGUCUGAUGGAGCAACGCCGCGUGAGUGAAGAAGGUUUUCGGAUCGUAAAGCUCUGUUGUUGGUGAAGAAGGAUAGAGGCAGUAACUGGUCUUUAUUUGACGGUAAUCAACCAGAAAGUCACGGCUAACUCCGUGCUAG
rnacentral:rRNA from 1 species